AUGAAUGACCUCCCCUCCAUAGCACCAUCGUCAUCAACUUCUCAGCCUCAUUUUCCUCUUCAACUCAGGGAAACAAAAAUUAAAGCUUGGAAAGACUCAAACAAAAACACACAGCCAGACAUCAUAGAGGUGAACAUAAGGAGGUUCAAAAAUUUACCGAUCGGAGUCACUCCGAUGGCGUUUCACAGUGACGAAGAUAUCGAAUAG
rnacentral:lncRNA from 1 species